rnacentral:rRNA from 1 species
UGGGGAAUUUUGGACAAUGGGCGAAAGCCUGAUCCAGCAAUGCCGCGUGUGCGAAGAAGGCCUUCGGGUUGUAAAGCACUUUUGUCCGGAAAGAAAUGGCUCUGGUUAAUACCUGGGGUCGAUGACGGUACCGGAAGAAUAAGGACCGGCUAACUACGUGCCAGCAGCCGCGGUAAUACGUAGGGUCCAAGCGUUAAUCGGAAUUACUGGGCGUAAAGCGUGCGCAGGCGGUUGUGCAAGACCGAUGUGAAAUCCCCGAGCUUAACUUGGGAAUUGCAUUGGUGACUGCAUGGCUAGAGUGUGUCAGAGGGGGGUAGAAUUCCACGUGUAGCAGUGAAAUGCGUAGAGAUGCGGAGGAAUACCGAUGGCGAAGGCAGCCCCCUGGGAUAACACUGACGCUCAUGCACGAAAGCGUGGGGAGCAAACAGG